GCAUCCCGCGCUGCUGGGGCUCAGGUGGGGGAGCGGGGGGAUUGCCCCCCGUGAGCCCCCCGGAGCAGGGGGGAGAUGAGCGCUCAGGAUGAGCAGUUCCCGGCAGCAGCCCCUGAGCCGGCGGCUCCCUCCGCCGAUGAUGGCAUGACCUGGUGGUACAGGUGGCUCUGCAGGAUUGCCGGGGUCAUCGGGGGCAUGUCCUGUGCCAUCGCUGGUCUCUGGAACUGUGUAACCAUCAACCCCCUCAACAUCGCGGCCGGCGUGUGGAUGAUGCUCAACGCCUUUGUCCUGUUCCUGUGUGAAGCCCCUUUCUGCUGCCAGUUCAUCGAGUUCGCCAACGCCGUCUCCGCCAGGGCGGACAAGCUGCGGGCCUGGCAGAAAGCGGCUUUUUACUGCGGGAUGGCCGUGUUCCCCGUCAUGCUCAGCCUGACGCUGACCACGCUCUUCGGAAACGCCAUCGCCUUCGCCACCGGGGUCCUUUACGGUCUGUCGGCGCUGGGCAAGAAGGGAGAUGCCAUUUCCUACGCUCGGAUCCACCAGCAGCAGAAGCAAAUGGAUGAGGAGAAGCUCACGGGGACCCUGGAGGGACAGGCUCUCUGAGGCACACGGGGUAACCUCUCCUGAACACUGAGAUGGUGAAGAUACGGAAAUCCACUCUGCCCUUCCCUGUGCCUGCUCCCCUCUCUGCUACGCCGCGAUUUCCCUGGACGCUGCAGCAACUGGAAAUCUCAGGGGCUGGGGCAGGCUGUGCCCUCUUCUCACACCAGCAGCCAGACCUCAGCGUGUUGGUCCCUCUCUCCUCCUCAACCCUCAACCAAAUAUGUCACAGUCCCUUUAUUUUUUUAAUUUUUUUUUUUUUUUUUCUGCUGCAGAGGUGCUGGCUCUCUGAGUGCUGCUUUCCCAGCCUGAACAGGCAGCCUUUUUUUUGGGAGUGACCCUUCGGAAACUGCUCUCUGGAUGGGAAAAAAAACAUCCACUGUCUUCAGGGAAGGGUUUCACUGAAGAUAUCAAGACCUGGUCCAUGGCCAUGUGAGAAAGAGAACUUUCUAGCACAGGGCUGCCAGAGAUCCUGAGCUUCAGAAGGUCAGUGGAAACCAGAGGCUCUUGAGAGCUCUGAUAGUCAGGCCAUGCUUAGAAACAGUCAUAUUCCAGCCAGGGCUGAAUAUCUUUCUGGAAAAGGGUCUCAGCAGCAAAGGGUGGGUUUAAUACUGAAUGUUCUCUGUGUUUUUUAUUUUGACCCAUCUCUCUUCCUCUGUCCCAGGCUGCUUUAAAUUAAUGCUGUGAUAAAGCACAUCUUCUCUUAGGUGAUUUCUCUCAUCUGCUGCUGCAGGGGAUCUAAAUGGCAGCUGGCAUAUCUUAAGGGCUGGGUCACAUAUGCUGUUUUACCCCCUGCUUCCUUGUGACAGCAGGUUUAAUGUUCCAAGAAUGGGAGAGUACAGCCAUCUCCACCAGCCCUGAGGGUGCCAAGUGCAUUUCAGGAGGUUGGACAAAUGCCUGGGCACAUCAUCUCCCAGCUCAGCCUUUGUUGUUCUGCCCUUUUGGGAGGAGUUAGGUUGGAUGUGAGACUCAGCAAGGCCAUUAGUUCCUCACCGUCAUAACCUCCUCCUGCAGCUGUGUUUUACCUAGGGUUGAGCUCUGAAAGAUAAUUGAAAAAAGACCUUAAUCUUGCAGGACACACAGGAAAAAGGGGUCAGAGCAAUUUGCUCCUAACUGUGCAGCUGAAAUCUCAAAGUGAUGGAGGCUCCACACAACCGUGGUGGAGGCACAUCCACCUUUCUCUUUGUGGAUGAGUAAAACCCUGUGGUGGGAAGGACCCACCCCCAUACCAAGUGUUGUCAAUACUCACUGUGUCUUUCCUACAGUGUAUCACUUGCACUACAGCUGAAUGUUUGUCUGUUCCCGUUCUUUUGUCCUGGGUUUUCCUUGUGAACUGUAUUUGGUCCUGAUCAUUAGGCUUCUAGUGUUAUGUGUGUUUUUAGAGCAAUAAAACGUGGCAGCUUUUUAUACAAAAUACCUGGCUCU